rnacentral:rRNA from 1 species
UACGUAGGGGGCUAGCGUUGUCCGGAAUCAUUGGGCGUAAAGCGCGUGUAGGCGGCCCGGUAAGUCCGCUGUAAAAGUCGGGGGCUCAACCCUCGAAAGCCGGUGGAUACUGUCGGGCUAGAGUACGGAAGAGGCGAGUGGAAUUCCUGGUGUAGCGGUGAAAUGCGCAGAUAUCAGGAAGAACACCCGUGGCUAAGGCGGCUCUCUAGUACGGUACUGACGCUGAGACGCGAAAGCGUGGGGAGCGAACAGG